GACGAACGCUGGCGGCGUGCUUAACACAUGCAAGUCGAGCGGUAAGGCCCUUUCGGGGGUACACGAGCGGCGAACGGGUGAGUAACACGUGGGUGACCUGCCCUCAGCUCUGGGAGUAAGCCUGGGAAACCGGGGUACUAAUACCGGAUAUGACUCCAUGACGCAUGUUGUGGGGUGGAAAGCCUUGUGCGGCUGAGGAUGGGCCCGCGGCCUAUCAGCUUGUUGGUGGGGUGGAUGGCCUACCAAGGCGACGACGGGUAGCCGGCCUGAGAGGGCGACCGGCCACACUGGGACUGAGACACGGCCCAGACUCCUACGGGAGGCAGCAGUGGGGAAUCUUGCGCAAUGGGCGAAAGCCUGACGCAGCGACGCCGCGUGAGGGAUGACGGCCU
rnacentral:rRNA from 1 species